rnacentral:rRNA from 1 species
UACGAAGGGGGCUAGCGUUGCUCGGAAUGACUGGGCGUAAAGGGCGCGUAGGCGGAUGGCACAGUCAGAUGUGAAAUUCCCGGGCUUAACCUGGGGGCUGCAUUUGAUACGUGUUGUCUUGAGUUCGGAAGAGGGUCGUGGAAUUCCCAGUGUAGAGGUGAAAUUCGUAGAUAUUCGGAAGAACACCAGUGGCGAAGGCGACUCACUGGACAGGUAUUGACGCUGAGGUGCGAAAGCGUGGGGAGCAAACAGG